rnacentral:sRNA from 1 species
CAUAGGUACUCAGGAUCUUGGAAAUUUUGCGAACCCUGUCAUCAACCUCAUCACACAUGAAUUCAACCUUCUUAAGAUGGUCAAAUGCAAAUGACUGUUCUCGUGGCUUGUAUCUUUCAGUUGUUUCUAUCCAAAUAAGAUAUUUGUACCUUGGAAAGAUGUAGUGUAAGCCUCUCCAGAAUCGGUGAGUGUUGGAGAAAAUAAAUUAAUGCGUGCAGGUUAGAAGUCACACACCAAUCAUUAAGUACCAGAUUCUUCAAUUUGCUAAAUGUAGGGCACCACUUCAAAUCUGCGUUCAAAAUACACUAGAAAAGGUAUGGAGGAACAAGAUAAAAUAAGGUAACAUGUUAGGAUCUUUAAGAAUAAGAUGCACUCAUAUUGUACUGAAUAUGCUAACAUGCGCAGGCAUAACGCUUAUUACGCAUAUCACAUCAAACGGCUGAUGCUUUUAUCAUUAUCAGACCUAGUAUAGCCAGUCCAACCCCAUUUAUCACCACAAUCACAAUGCAGUGACACAAUUGCUGUCUCUAACAAUGGCAUGCUUUCAAGAAAUGGAGCCCUGCCCGAAAGCAGAGUGAUCUUCAGGGCAAUGAGACCCGGCAACGACAUCCGAGUGCGGGCAUCCACCAAGAACGCGCAGUCUGUCAUGAUCAGACGAUUCAGAGAUUGAGAUGACAUCUGCACAGCGUCGAUGUAGCAGCGGUGCAAGAUCAGAUCCAGAAGCGAUGGGCAUGAAGAGAAAUCAAGAACUCUGUCGUUGACACGGACAUGGGCGAGCUCCAAUGUCGUGAGGUGGUGGGAGACGAGGGGGAGAUCCGGUAGCCGCAGGCGUUGCUCGGAGGUGAAGAGGCGGAAGCGGAGCACCCGGACCUCGUGGCGCGCGGCGCGCCAGAUCGCGCGGCUCAGGUGGAGGUGGUUGGAGGGGAGGAGGAGCCCCGCGAAGCCGAAGUUGAUCUCGUUGAGGUCGAACACGAACGACUCCAGCCGCGGCGACGCGUCGCCGGGGCGGCGGCGGCUGCGGAGGCGGCGGAGAAGGCCGUCGAGGAACGCGGUGAACUUGGCGGCGCUGUCCCAUCCCCCGGCGCCGGUGACGCGGACGGCGGGGGCGGACCUCCACACGUCGCGCCAGCGCCGGCCCAGCGCGCACGUCCGCACCGCCUCGUGCGCCGGGAGCAGCGAGAGGAGGGUGUGGAGGAUGUCGUCUGGGAGGGCGCUGAGGCGGUCGGCGUCGCUCGCCGCGGCCGGCGCGUCUUCGUCC